GGCUGAUCGAUAUGUUCGACCCUUGGCUUUGCUUACAAGCCACUGCAUUUUCUGGUUCCAGGCAGUGAGGUGAGGAUAAGUCUCCUUCAGCCAGUGCAUUGUUUUCUCCCAUAAUUCAACAGUGACUGGGCAGAAUAGUAGCAAGUGAUCUCUGGUCUCUGGAUGGUUUUGGCUGCAUUUUCUGGUUCCAGGCAGUGAGGUGAGGAUAAGUCUCCUUCAGCCAGUGCAUUGUUUUCUCCCAUAAUUCAACAGUGACUGGGCGGAAUAGUAGCAAAUGGUCUCUGGUCUCUGGAUGGUUUUGGCAUAAGAUACAUUGCUGAUCAACAUUCAUUCCCCAGCUGUGCAAUCUAUCUUUUGUUGGAAAUCUAUCUUGUAGGAACAGCCAUAGAUUGAAAGUUUCCUUUGGCCUUGCAUAGUUUCGUAUGAUCAAAUUCUUCCAUGGGACUCUCGGCAGGUCUUGAAGCUGUAAGUGGUAUAGUUGUCCAACUGAGCAGCCCUGCUCCUUCCAGUGUUGAAAUCCCUGCAAAACUUCUCUCGAUUGGAUGAUCUUCCUGGCCAUCCAACUUGCUUGUGCAGGAAUUGGCAUGGUUUCAAUAGGUCUGUUUUUUAUGUAGUAUACAGUGAUCCAUCUAAUCCACAGUUUGUCCUUUUUAUGAGCUAG
rnacentral:lncRNA from 1 species